rnacentral:rRNA from 1 species
GACGAACGCUGGCGGCGUGCCUAACACAUGCAAGUCGAGCGGAGCACCCCGGACGGAGACUUCGGUCAAAGUCUGGGAAUGCUUAGCGGCGGACGGGUGAGUAACGCGUGAGCAAUCUGCCUUCAAGAGGGGGACAACAUAGGGAAACUUAUGCUAAUACCGCAUAACAUAUAUUAACCGCAUGGUUGAUAUAUCAAAGAUUUAUCGCUUGAAGAUGAGCUCGCGUCCGAUUAGAUAGUUGGUGGGGUAACGGCCUACCAAGUCGACGAUCGGUAGCCGGACUGAGAGGUUGAACGGCCACAUUGGGACUGAGACACGGCCCAGACUCCUACGGGAGGCAGCAGUGGGGGGAUAUUGCACAAUGGGGGAAACCCUGAUGCAGCAACGCCGCGUGAAGGAAGAAGGUCUUCGGAUUGUAAACUUCUGUUUUUAGGGUAAGGAUAAUGACGGUACCUUUGGAGGAAGCCCGGCUAACUACGUG